UACGUAGGUGGCAAGCGUUGUCCGGAAUUACUGGGUGUAAAGGGAGCGCAGGCGGGUCGACAAGUUGGAUGUGAAAUACCGAGGCUUAACCUCGGAGCUGCAUCCAAAACUGCCGAUCUUGAGUGGAGUAGUGGCAAGCGGAAUUCCGAGUGUAGCGGUGAAAUGCGUAGAUAUUCGGAGGAACACCAGUGGCGAAGGCGGCUUGCUGGGCUCUAACUGACGCUGAGGCUCGAAAGUGUGGGGAGCAAAC
rnacentral:rRNA from 1 species